GCUCACGGAGCUCAUGUCGGCGUCGCUCCCACUUCUCGCCGUCACUAUCCUCGCCGACUCGCCUCUCUGAUCUGCGGUCUCUGGUCUGUGCUCACCUUGUCAUCCCUCCUUCCUCCGUCGUCGUCUCUCUGGUUUAAAUCUUGAUUUGCAAACUUUCAAUGAUGAUGAAGAUGUUGAAAGUGAUCAAGAAUAAAGGUUGAAGAUUCAUUUAUAUCUAAUAUUGUAAUUUCUUUAUUAUGGUGUUAAAUUUGUAGUGAUCUAACACUUUUUUUUUUUUAAUUUCAAGUUAUUUGAGCUAAUGACAUUGUAUGAAUUUUAUGUUUGUA